GAGGAAUAUUGGUCAAUGGGCGCGAGCCUGAACCAGCCAAGUAGCGUGAAGGAUGACUGCCCUAUGGGUUGUAAACUUCUUUUAUAAGGGAAUAAAGUGAGGCACGUGUGCCUUAUUGUAUGUACCUUAGGAAUAAGCAUCGGCUAACUCCGUGCCAGCAGCCGCGGUAAUACGGAGGAUGCAAGCGUUAUCCGGAUUUAUUGGGUUUAAAGGGAGCGUAGGCGGACUAUUAAGUCAGCUGUGAAAGUUUACGGCUCAACCGUGAAAUUGCAGUUGAAACUGGUCGUCUUGAGUGCAGUAAAGGUGGGCGGAAUUCGUGGUGUAGCGGUGAAAUGCUUAGAUAUCACGAAGAACUCCGAUUGCGUAGGCAGCUUACUAAGCCAUAACUGACGCUCAUGCACGAAAGCGUGGGGAUCAAACA
rnacentral:rRNA from 1 species